AUGAACGCUGGCGGCGUGCCUCAUACCUGCCAGUCGAGCGAACAGACGAGGAGCUUGCUCCUCUGACGUUAGCGGCGGACGGGUGAGUAACACGUGGAUAACCUACCUAUAAGACUGGGAUAACUUCGGGAAACCGGAGCUAAUACCGGAUAAUAUAUUGAACCGCAUGGUUCAAUAGUGAAAGACGGUUUUGCUGUCACUUAUAGAUGGAUCCGCGCCGCAUUAGCUAGUUGGUAAGGUAACGGCUUACCAAGGCAACGAUGCGUAGCCGACCUGAGAGGGUGAUCGGCCACACUGGAACUGAGACACGGUCCAGACUCUUACGGGAGGCAGCAGUAGGGAAUCUUCCGCAAUGGGCGAAAGCCUGACGGAGCAACGCCGCGUGAGUGAUGAAGGUCUUCGGAUCGUAAAACUCUGUUAUUAGGGAAGAACAAAUGUGUAAGUAACUAUGCACGUCUGGACGGUACCUAAUCAGAAAGCCACGGCUAACUACGU
rnacentral:rRNA from 1 species